ACGCAGUGGGGUGGGGGAAUGGGGGACUGUGGCAGGCAGGUUAAUAGGUGAACGAAACACAGGUUUUAAUUUGGAAACAUGAAAAACCGGAUGAAUUCUCCUGUAUACCGGAGGAAGUUUGAGGCGAACUGCCACUGGACUAAGGAUCUUAGUGACAGUGAAUGGACCAAUAAAUUUCCGAGCAAGCUUUUUACAAACGGGAGGCUGAGACUGGUGGCAAUUGGCUUGGGCCUUAGUGCGUGCCUGCACCCAGGGAAGAGCCGACCUGGCCUUUCUCCAGGUGUGGCGGCACCUCUAAACAAAGGCGUGAGAUGAGGAGACCGCAAAUUCAGUUUCCAGGUUCUGAAAAAUAGGUGGAUGGUAACCUAGACUACCUUUAAACGGAGAGAGUCCCGAGGACGAAAUUGGUAAUGGGUUAUCCACAUACUCAUCCCAUGAGAGCUGCUGGCUCCAAGGGGAUGGAUUCUGAGACACCUACGCUUUGAUGACAGGUCCACCCGGAGUGAUCGAGCAAAGACUGAUAAGUUUGCUGCAAUUUCCAGUGUGUGGGGAUCAUUUGUCACCAAUUGCAUCACGUCCUACAACCCUGGUCUACAUAUCACCGUUGAUGAACAGCUUUUCCCGUCAAAGACUCGCUGCUGUUUCCUGCAGUAUAUUGCAACUAAACCUGACAAGUUUGGGAUCAAGUUUUGGGUGGCUUGCGACCUAAAAUCCAAGUACAUUUGUAAUGUCCUCCCAUAUCUUGGAUCCUAGUCGUCCCAGUGGAGAGAGACUGUCUGAAAAUGUAGUGAUGAGGCUGAUGGAACCAUUCCUAGACAAGGGCAGAAAUGUUACCACGGACAAUUUCUUCACAUCGCUGUCACUUGCGCAUAAACUUCUUAGCCGGAAAACCACCAUCCUCGGCACAGUCAACAAGAUUCGCCGGGAAAUCCCUCAAUCCGCUAGACACACAGAUCGCAAUGAAUUCACCACUCAGGUGUUUUCAACCACUGCUGCUACGCUGACGGCGUAUGCGCCCAAACGGAAGAAGACCGUCUACAUUCUUAGCAGCAUGCACAGCGUGAUUCAGACUGAUAAUACCACCAAAAGGAAGCCAAACACUGUCACCCUUUACAACACCACAAAGUGCGGCGUGGAUGUGAUGGACCAGAUGGUGCGGGAGUACACUGUCCGCACAGGGACACGGCUACAGAUACACAUGUGGUAAAUGCAGACGGGAGAUACCAUGGCAGUGCCAGGAUUGUGAGUGAUUGCUGGAAUGUACUCACUCACUUUUUAAUAUUAUUUGUAAAUAUGUGUACAAAUGGUUGGUUUCUUUAUUUUAUUUUGUACUAUUUUUAUCAAUAAAUCUCAGCAACAAAGGAAAAAAAAACA
ensembl:lncRNA